AGUCGAACGAACCCUUCGGGGUUAGUGGCGCACGGGUGCGUAACGCGUGGGAACCUGCCUUUAGGUUCGGAAUAACAGUUAGAAAUGACUGCUAAUACCGGAUAAUGUCUUCGGACCAAAGAUUUAUCGCCUUUAGAUGGGCCCGCGUAGGAUUAGAUAGUUGGUGGGGUAAUGGCCUACCAAGUCGACGAUCCUUAGCUGGUCUGAGAGGAUGAUCAGCCACACUGGGACUGAGACACGGCCCAGACUCCUACGGGAGGCAGCAGUGGGGAAUAUUGGACAAUGGGCGAAAGCCUGAUCCAGCAAUGCCGCGUGAGUGAUGAAGGCCUUAGGGUUGUAAAGCUCUUUUACCAGGGAUGAUAAUGACAGUACCUGGAGAAUAAGCUCCGGCUAACUCCGUGCCAGCAGCCGCGGUAAUACGGAGGGAGCUAGCGUUGUUCGGAAUUACUGGGCGUAAAGCGCACGUAGGCGGCUUUCCAAGUCAGGGGUGAAAUCCCG
rnacentral:rRNA from 1 species